rnacentral:lncRNA from 1 species
UGCUGUUGCUGUUGCUGUUGCUGUUGCUGUUGCUGUUGCUGUUGCUGUUGCUGUUGCAUGUGGCUGUUGGCUGUUAGUGUUGGUUGUUGGCUGUUGCACAAGCACAAGUGCACAACAGCUGUUAGCGGCUGCCUGCUAGUAGAAUAAAUUCAUGUUGGCUUGUUGCUAGCUGAUUUGUUAAAUCAUAACUUUGUUAAGGUCUUAAGAACAGUUAAUUUGUUGGCUUGUUGCUGCUGUAUUUUUAAACUUUAUGUUGGAUGUUGGAUGUUGGAUGUUGCUGUUCAGUU